CGCCGAGAUCGUCCGCGGAAGAGGCCAAACCCAAUGGAGGCGAGGGUAGCGAAGGCCACCUCGGCGACGUCCUUCACCAAGCCCCCGCCGCUGGCGCUCCCGAAGACGGCGCAGUUCUUCUUCCGGCACCUCCCGCGUCACAGCCGUGGUGGCGCCAGCGUCGUCCCCCACGAGGAGUGGGUGAGGAAGACCGCUCUGAGGGACUCCAUCCACGACGCCUACCUGCGUGCCCUCGCGCGGCUCCCUUUCAACGGCCCCCGUGGCGUGCCGACGGUGCCGUCCCUCCUGCCCGCGCUCCUAGCCGGCGGCCACUGCUUCGGGCCCCUCUCCGACGGCGCGUCCAACGUCAUCGUCAACACGGUUUGGCUCUACGCCGCCUCUCCCCCUGCCCGCUUCUCCGCCGUCGACGCCGUUGUCGAUGUCGUCGACAUCGAUGACAUCAAGCAGAGAUCCUUCCUCGGCCUCAAUCGCGUGCACCACGACGUCGAUCGGAACUACGACUACUACUACGCUGCCGCUGCUGCCGCCGGGCACCCCAACUGCGAGGCCUUCGCUGCGUUCGCGCAGUCCGGAGUUGCCACAAGCCCCGCCGUCACAGAACUGCUCGCCGGUGGCAGCAGCGCCCAUCUCUCCGCCGAGGAUGUCGAGCGACUGGCCGUACUACUCGUUCGACCCUCGGCUCCUCCACUCGACUCUUGCCAGGUGCUAGAGCCGCAGUUCCCGGCGGAGAGGGAGGAGUACAUCAGAGCCGGGCAACGAUGGAGACGGAAGCUGGCAAACAUGGCGAUUCAGCACUGGAACCGCACCAUUGGGCUCUUCUUUGCGGAAUAUGCAAGAAAAAUGGGGGUCGUGCUUUGCUGCCCUGUCCAAGACUCUGUCUCUCUAAGCGGUCACUGCGAUCUUUGUGAGAGUCUUCAUUUAAGGCUUAUCCACCCAUCUUUUGGAGCAUACAAUUUCCGCAGUCCCCUUGAUGCUACCUCGGGUAUAAUUGACUUUGAUGUUGCAAAUCUGCUGGACAUCAAAUAUGCUCGGCACCUUUGGGGUUCGAGGCACAUGGACCGUGCUUUUUACCCUUAUGAUGAUUUUCAUUCCAGCGAUGAAUGGAGGUGUGGUUUCAUGGUAAUCCGGUAG
rnacentral:rRNA from 1 species